rnacentral:tRNA from 1 species
AGAGCAUUUGUGAGAACAAUUGUGACUUCUAAUCAUCGACUGACACGGUUAAACUCCGUGUGUGCUCUU